GUUUGCGAUCAUCAACAUUAUCAAUAAACAUCAUUUACACCAUCAUAUACAACAAUAUCAUCAGCAUCAUCAUCAGCAUCAACAACAACAUCAUCAGCAACAUCAUCACCACCCCUAGCAUCAGCAGAAAUAUCAACAUCAUCAUCAGCAACAGCAACAACAACAACAUCAGCAGCAUCAACAACAACAUCAUCAGCAUCAACAACAACAACAUCAGCAACACCGUCACCAUCUAGAACAGAGGGGAGGGAAGACUGCGGCCUAGUCGGCCUCGGGCCAUCCCGAGUUUUCCUAGCGGACCCGCCGCGCCCGGAGCGCCUCCCCCGGCAGGAGUCGGGAUCGAAUAACGGGAGGUCGUGGGUUCGAUCCCGGCCCUGGCGACGCCAACUGCUGUAUAUUUGGAGUCUGCGUGUCUCUCUCUCUCUCAUCAUCAUCAGUGAGUGGGUGAGGCUUGGCCCGAGCGAGUUCCCGCCUUUUCACGAGUUGAUUCCGCCCCCCGCCGUGGCUUUGUCGGCACGAGGCUUCU